UACGUAGGCAGCAAGCGUUGUUCGGAGUUACUGGGCGUAAAGAGUGCGUAGGCGGUCCUGUAAGUUUGGUGUGAAAUCUCCCGGCUCAACUGGGAGGGUGCGCCGAAGACUGCAGGGCUUGAGUAUGGGAGAGGUAAGCGGAAUUCCUGGUGUAGCGGUGAAAUGCGUAGAUAUCAGGAGGAACACCUGUGGUGUAGACAGCUUACUGGACCAUAACUGACGCUGAGGCACGAAGGCCAGGGGAGCAAACGGG
rnacentral:rRNA from 1 species